UCAGAUGGUUGGGUAAUUGCUUGUCUGCUUGCAGGCGAGAGGAAAGUCCGAGCUUCACAGAAACAAAAGACCGGAUAAGCACCGGCUGGGGCGACCCAAGAGAAAGUGCCACAGAAAAUAUACCGCCCCUCGGGCGUAGCUAAGGGGGUAAGGGUGAAAUGGUAGGGUAAGAGCCUACCGCUUUUUUGGCAACAAAAAAGGCAGGGUAAACCUUCUUUGAAGCAAGACCAAGUUAAAUAGCGUUUGUUGGAGCAAUCUGCAAACACCUGUGUUUCUGCAGGCUAUUAUGGUAGGUCGCACGAGGUUAUUAGUAAUAAUAAUCCCAGAUAAAUAAUUACCGGUAAGGUUAUGCCUUGCUACAGAACUCGGCUUAUAGACCAUCUGACGUU
rnacentral:RNase_P_RNA from 1 species